GACGAACGCUGGCGGCGUGCUUAACACAUGCAAGUCGAACGGAAAGGCCCUGCUUUUGUGGGGUGCUCGAGUGGCGAACGGGUGAGUAACACGUGAGUAACCUGCCCUUGACUUUGGGAUAACUUCAGGAAACUGGGGCUAAUACCGGAUAGGAGCUCCUGCUGCAUGGUGGGGGUUGGAAAGUUUCGGCGGUUGGGGAUGGACUCGCGGCUUAUCAGCUUGUUGGUUGGGUAGUGGCUUACCAAGGCUUAGACGGGUAGCCGACCUGAGAGGGUGACCGGGGUCAAGGGGACUAAGGGAGGGAGCAGUCGGGAACGGGAGGCAACGGGGGGAAGCAUGACAGAGUGAGCGGGAGUGUGAGACAAAGGCGUCGGGUGCGGAAUGACGGCUUUCGGGGUAAGAAAAGCUGUAGCCUGAGACGAAGCGGGAGUGACGGUAAUGAAUAAAGAAGCACCGGCUAACUACGUG
rnacentral:rRNA from 1 species